GGUAGAUGUUUAUACAAAGAACAACUUCCGACUAUCACUAUCAAAAUAAAAGUUUUGCACUUUGACCACAGGGGGGCAGUGUGUACUCACGGUUAUACUUUUAUCAACUCUGUUAAGAAUAACCUCCUCAAGCUAGAAACAAGAACAAGACUAUCGAGGAAGAGGAAUACAUCAUUUCAUACUUUUACCUCAAAUUAAUGGAGGUUGAGGCAUUUUAUCUCCCUCUUGAUCAACAAAGUUUCUGCCGCUAAUUCUAAACAUCUAUGCAAAGCUCACAGGAAAGUUUGUGUCCUCCUGAACAAUUCACCAAAACUAGGAAGCCGUUGUUCAUGCUGAUUAAUUAACUUUACCGAAUUAUAACAAAAGACUUUAAUCUUUUUCUUCUAUCAAACAGUGAAAGUUUGUAAAGGAACAUUAUCACAUCGCCUUACAGCUCCCUCUUGUUAACGCUAGCUGCACUUUAUGAAGCUUUUAGUUAAACUCUGCUGGGCUCGUCAUCAACCGGAACCGGAACACGUAACAUUUUUCAUCACUGGGCGCCAUCUAGUGGACAACCCGAAAGCUACAACAACAUAAGGGGGGGAAACAUGAUGGGAGUAUGACGGCUGCCACACGGCUGAUAUCAAGGUUGACGCUGGUCACUGGUAAAUAUAUGUUGUAAGAUACAUGGUGUUGUGUGAAGUGAGACGUUUAAGGACAUGCCCUUUUCCCUUUUCAAGAUGUUGCGUUCAAAGCCGUGUGUUUUUCUGCAAUCUUCUUCAAUUCACCAAAUCAAAGCAGCUACCUACUGCAAGUAGCUUCUGAUAUCAAAAAGUUUGAUCUCCAAAGUAAGCUGACAAUGAAUUCAUUAUUUUAGUGUAACCGUGAUUCUAUCAGUGAUUUCUAAAUCAGUACCUCGAGCAGAUCGGACUGAAUUAAGUUUGAUGACUUGAAAUGAGAGUGAAGGUGAAAGUGUAGCUGUCAUUCUGGCUGUGUGUAUGCUAUCAAUAAGACCUGCAACCAUUUCAGAAUGAAAUGAUCUGCCGUUGAAUUGUGAAAAUACUGAAAAAGGAAACAUGUUUAAAUGCCUCAGAGUUUAAAUCUUUAAAUGUCUGGUUUUGUCCGACUUAAGGUUCAAAACUGUAAAAAAUGCAAUACAGUGUGGAUACAGUGAGUGACUGAAAGGAUACAUGUAUUAUGAGAAUUGUGGCUUAUUAAUUGUCUUCUUUGACUGAUGGAAUAAACAUUAAAGCUGUAUUAUGAAUGAUGAAGCAUCACUUGUCCUCUUACAUUUUCACAUAGAAAAGUGGACUCAAGGUUUUUGAA